rnacentral:ribozyme from 1 species
AGUCAGCACAGUGACUAUAAACCGCCUUAAGCUGUGCGCGUUCUAACAAAAAGUUAGAGGUGGCG